GACGUAGGGCGCGAGCGUUGUCCGGAUUUAUUGGGCGUAAAGAGCUCGUAGGCGGCUCGUUGCGUCGGCUGUGAAAACCCGCAGCUCAACUGUGGGCUUGCAGCUGAUACGGGCGGGCUGGGAUUCGGUAGGGGAGACUGGAAUUCCUGGUGUAGCGGUGGAAUGCGCAGAUAUCAGGAGGAACACCGGUGGCGAAGGCGGGUCUCUGGGCCGAUACUGACGCUGAGGAGCGAAAGCGUGGGGAGCGAACAGG
rnacentral:rRNA from 1 species